GCUGGGUGUGGUGGCACAUGCCUGUAAUCCCAGCAACUUGGGAAGCUGAGGCAGGAGGAUCAUAAGUUCAAAGCCAGCCUAGGCAAUUUUGUGAGACCCUGUUUCAA
rnacentral:sRNA from 1 species